AGGGUAGAGAGUUAGCAGGGCAGUUCUGAGCCACUGGGAACACAGGAUGUGGAAGCAGAUGUGGCCAAGGGAUUACCCGACUGUAACUUCAGCACAGGAUCCUUCCAUGACACCAGGCUGCCCCUAAGAACAAAGUCAUGUUCAAACUGGGGAGUGUGAGAUAAGAGAUGGGGAAGAGGGAUAGAGGUGAGUCAGAAUCUGUUUUCCUCCAUUUCUUGACCACCUUAGAAACCACCUCUCUCACCUACCCCAUGCCAUGUUUCAUGUCUCAGUGACCCUCUUGUGUUUGAACCCAAACCUGCCUCUUAAAGUGGAAGGGAAACAGCAUGUCCUGGUACAGGGUAAUUGAUCAGAACAGCAAAAGUGCCUUAGGUUGCUCAAAGGCACAGUCCUGUCCUGUCUUGGUCCUCUUUGUAUUUCCCUAUAGGCUCUAACUAAGGGACACCCAACUGCUUGGCCCAGAAGUCAUGCCUACUACCUCUGAUGACUCUAGCACCUCUGCUUCCAGCAACCCCACCUGCCCCCAGCCUCUGUGACAGUGACCCUCUCCCUUUGUACAUACUUGCACACAGGUUCCCCAUGUACAUACAUACACAUACUCACACACACAUACAUACACAUUUAUACACAGAGGACUCUGGAGCCAAAGUAGAGGCUGUGGCCCAGGCACUACCUGCUGGCUCCCACCUAUGGUUUGGGGGCCAUACCUGUUCCAGCUCUGUUCCCAGAGUGGGGAAGGGAGGUGGGGGUGGGGGAGUAGUGGGGCACAGCUCCUGAGAUCCAGCCCCCAGACUGACAGAUGGACAGACAGACAUGCAGACACCAGACUGAAGCACAUGUAAUAUAGACCGUGUAUGUUUAUAAUGUUGUGUAUAAAUGGGACAACUCCCAGCCCUUACCUAUCCCCUCCCUCUUUGGUUGUAUGAGUUCCUUCUUUUUUUAAGAACCCCUGGAAGCAGUGCCUCCUUCAGGGUUGGCUGGGGGCUCGGCUCAUCCACCUCUGGGAUACCUGCCUCUCCCUCUCCUGUGGUGUCCCUUCCCUCUCCCAUGUGCUUGGUAUUCAGUGGUAUAUAUUUCUUCUCCCAGACAUGGGGCACAUGCCCCAAGGGACAUGAACCUGUCCUUAGUCUUAGCUCAUGGGGCUCUUUAUAAGGAGUUGAGGGUUAGAGGCAGGAAACGGGAACCAAGCUGAAGCAGAGGCUGAGAUGGGGGACUGGAGGACAGUGCUCCUGGCCUCCCAGCCUCUGCUGAGAACCAUUCCUGGGAUUAGAGCUGCCCUUCCCAGGGAAAAAAGUGUCUCCCCGACCCUCCCGUGGGCCCUAUGGUAUGAUGCUGUGUCUGUAUAUUCUAUACAAAGGUACUUGUCCUUUUCCUUUGUAAACUACAUUUGACAUGGAUUAAACCAGUAUAAACAGUUAAAAAAAGAGAGAGAGAGAUCUGAGCUGUCAGCAGAAGCAGCUGGAGGCCAGGGGAGGAAUCUCGGGAAGGAAAGACCUUUGCCAUGGCUGAACACUUCAGACAAGUAAUUAGAUGUCCUGUCUGUCUAAAUGAUCUUGAAGAACUGGUGCAACUGAAAUGUGGAUAUGCCUGCUGCCUCCAAUUCGUCAAUUCUCUGCAGAAGGAGCCCCAUGGGAAAAGUGUACUAUGCCCCUUACACAUUGUGGCCUCUCAGAAGAAUGACAUCAAGCCCAAGUACAAGCUGAGGGCACUGAUUUCCAUCAUCAAGGAACUAGAGCCCAAGCUGAAAUCUAUUCUAAGGAUGAACCCAAGGAUGAAGAAGUUUCAAGUGGAUAUGAUCUUGGAUGUGGACAUAGCCAGCAACUAGCUUACCAUUUCUGAAGACCCGAAGAGCAUCCAAUGUGGGGAUUUCAGACAGAACAGGAAAGAGCAGGCUGAAAGGUUCAGCUCCGCACUGUGCGUUCUGAGGACCUCUCACUUCACUUCCGGCCACCACUACUGGGAAGUAGAUGUGGGCACCAGCAAAAUAUGGGAUGUGGGCAUUUGUAAGGAAUCUGUGAAUUGACAGGGGGAUGUUGUACUUUCUUCAGAAGUUGGCUUCUGGACUGUGGGUUCCAGAAAAGGACAGAUCUUUGCCGCCAGCACUAUGCCUUUGACUUUUCUCUGGGUGAGUCCCCAGUUGCACAGAGUGGGGAUUUACCUGGAGGUAGGUAUGAGGUCAAUUUCCUUUUAUAAUGUUAGUGAUGGGUGCCAUAUCUACACAUUCAAUGACAUUCCUGUUAUCGAGCCACUGUGUCCAUUUUUUUCUCAUAAACGUGAAACUCAAGAUGAUCAGAGCUUCCUGAGUAUCUUUCCUGUGAUCAAUCCAGACAGUGCCAGUCCCCCAGUUUAUUCUGAGGAAAGCAAAUAAACAUUUGAACAUAAUCAUCGAUAGCAAGUUUCUGUGUGCCCGUAGCCAGAGCUAAGAACAUUUCUGCUAGAUACACAUAGGUACCAAGGGAUGGAAGGGAAACGUCAGUCACUUUGUAAACCACGAACAGAAAGCAAUUAUAUUAAUUAGGGGAAAACUAUAUUUUAUGUAUAACGUUUGUCAUAUUUUCUUUGGGGCUUGUGUUUAUUCUUUUGUUCAAUAAAUAUUUUGAAAUUUCA